GAGGUGGCUGGAGACGAGUGUAGAGCGGGGUUUCUACAGUUGGGUUUUUAUAUUUCGGGGUGGUGUUAACCCAUUCGCUAAGCGAUACACUUUUGGGCCGGUUUCAGACGAGUGUAAAAUGUCCUGUGCCCUGAGGAUUUGCUCAGACAACCACAAGCUUAGCCAGAGAAAAAGCUGUGAGAGACUGCACCACAGAGACAGCACCUAGCUGAGAGAACUUGCUUCACACAGGACAGAGACCUGCUGGCAGAGACAAACACGGAGUCCAGACAUCUGGUUAAUACAGUGAGAGGAGACUGCUGAUGGACUGACCUAGUUAGUGGUUUGAGGCCAUUGACAUAUCGUCGAAGUUAACAUGUGAGGAGCGGAUAGAAAUUGUGUUGAUGUCUGGUGAACGCAGUAACCGGGUUAUUGCAGCAGAUUUCAAUGUAAGACACUCUAUGAGACCACCCAUCUCCCAUGCUACAGUUAGCAAACUGCUUGCUAAGUUUUGUGAAGCUGGUUCAAUGUUGGAUUUGCCAAAGUGUGGAUGCAUGAAAUUUGUCACUAAUGAAGAAACAACAGUGGCUGUCCUAGCUUCAUUCAGCAAGAGCCCACAGCAUAGCACUCGCUGCAUGUCACUGGAGAGUGGCAUUAGUCGAACAUCCCUUCGGCGGAUAUUAGCUACUCACAAAUGGCACCCUUACAAACUCCAGCCACUGCAGCAUCUCAACGAGGUGACCCAGAUCGGCGCACUGAAUUUGCAGAAUGGGCAAAACGAAAAUUGGAACAGGACCCUCAGUUCACGCAGAAGAUUUUGUUCAGUGAUGAGCCAAACUUUUAUGAGAAUGGGGAAGUUAACAAACAAAACCACCGCUAUUGGUCUGACACUAAUCCACAUUGGAUAGAUCCCUCCAAGACUGUUGGAACACAAAAAUUGAUGGUAUGUUGUGGUAUAUGGGGUACAAAGGUAUAUGGGGUCAUUCUCCAUCAAUGGAAACCUCAAGGCCACUGGAUAUGCGAAAUUGCUACAUGAUGAUGUGUUUCCCUCUUUAUGCACUGAAGCUGGCAUGUUCCCUGAGUUUUUUCAGCAAGAUGGUGCACCACCACAUUAUGGGUGUCAGGUCCGAGCAAUCCUAGAUGAACAGUUUCCUGGAAAGUGGAUUGGUCAUCGUGGGCCAGUUGAUUGGCCCCCAAGGUCUCCCGAUCUGACCCCCUUAGACUUUUAUCUUUGGGGUCAUCUGAAGGCAAUUGUCUAUGCUGUGAAGAUACGAGAUGUGCAGCACCUGAAACUACGGAUACUGGUAGCCUGUGCUAGCAUUUCUCCUGCGGUGUUGCUAUCAGUGUGUGAAGAGUGGGAGAAGAGGGUUGCAUUGACAAUCCAACACAAUGGGUAGCACAUUGAACACAGUUUAUAAGUGGUCAGAAACUUGUAAAUAACUCAUGAAAGAAUAAAGUUACG